rnacentral:rRNA from 1 species
UACGAAGGGGGCUAGCGUUGUUCGGAAUUACUGGGCGUAAAGCGUAUGCAGGCGGACUUUUAAGUCGGGGGUGAAAUCCCGAGGCUCAACCUCGGAACUGCCUUCGAUACUGGAAGUCUUGAGUCCGGGAGAGGUGAGUGGAACUCCGAGUGUAGAGGUGAAAUUCGUAGAUAUUCGGAAGAACACCAGUGGCGAAGGCGGCUCACUGGCCCGGUACUGACGCUGAGAUACGAAAAGCG